UGGGGAAUUUUGCACAAUGGGGGAAACCCUGAUGCAGCGACGCCGCGUGAUUUAGAAGGCCUUCGGGUUGUAAAAAUCUUUUCUAUGGGAAGAAAAUGACAGUACCAUAGGAAUAAGGACCGGCUAAUUACGUGCCAGCAGCCGCGGUAAUACGUAAGGUCCGAGCGUUGUCCGGAAUCAUUGGGCGUAAAGGGUACGUAGGCGGGUAAGCAAGUUAGAAGUGAAAUCCUAUAGCUCAACUAUAGUAAGCUUUUAAAACUGCUCAUCUUGAGGUAUGGCAGAGAAAGUGGAAUUCCUAGUGUAGCGGUGAAAUGCGCAGAUAUUAGGAGGAAUACCGGUGGCGAAGGCGACUUUCUGGCCAUAACCUGACGCUGAGGUACGAAAGCGUGGGUAGCAAACAGG
rnacentral:rRNA from 1 species